rnacentral:misc_RNA from 1 species
GAUGAAGAACGCAGUGAAAUGCGAUAAGUAAUGUGAAUUGCAGAAUUCAGUGAAUCAUCGAAUCUUUGAACGCACCUUGCGCCCUUUGGCUAUUCCGAAGGGCAUGCCUGUUUGAGUAUCGUGAACACCUCAACUCUCAUGGUUUGCCAUGAUGAGCUUGGACUUUGGGGGUUUUGCUGGCCUUUGGUCGGCUCCUCUCAAACGGAUCAGCUUUCCAGUGUUUGGUGGCGUCACGGGUGUGAUAACUAUCUACGCCUGUGGUUUUCUGCCAGAUAACCUUCAGCGAUGGAGGUUCGCUGGGGCUCAUAAAUGUCUCUCUUCAGUGGAGACAGCUUUUUGGACGUUUGAUCUCAAAUCAGGUAGGACUGCCCGCUGAACUUAAGCAUAUCAAUAAGCGGAGGA